rnacentral:rRNA from 1 species
GAGUUUGAUCCUGGCUCAGAUUGAACGCUGGCGGCAGGCCUAACACAUGCAAGUCGAGCGGUAGAGAGAAGCUUGCUUCUCUUGAGAGCGGCGGACGGGUGAGUAAUGCCUAGGAAUCUGCCUGGUAGUGGGGGAUAACGUUCGGAAACGGACGCUAAUACCGCAUACGUCCUACGGGAGAAAGCAGGGGACCUUCGGGCCUUGCGCUAUCAGAUGAGCCUAGGUCGGAUUAGCUAGUUGGUGGGGUAAUGGCUCACCAAGGCGACGAUCCGUAACUGGUCUGAGAGGAUGAUCAGUCACACUGGAACUGAGACACGGUCCAGACUCCUACGGGAGGCAGCAGUGGGGAAUAUUGGACAAUGGGCGAAAGCCUGAUCCAGCCAUGCCGCGUGUGUGAAGAAGGUCUUCGGAUUGUAAAGCACUUUAAGUUGGGAGGAAGGGUUGUAGAUUAAUACUCUGCAAUUUUGACGUUACCGACAGAAUAAGCACCGGCUAACUCUGUGCCAGCAGCCGCGGUAAUACAGAGGGUGCAAGCGUUAAUCGGAAUUACUGGGCGUAAAGCGCGCGUAGGUGGUUAGUUAAGUUGGAUGUGAAAUCCCCGGGCUCAACCUGGGAACUGCAUUCAAAACUGACUGACUAGAGUAUGGUAGAGGGUGGUGGAAUUUCCUGUGUAGCGGUGAAAUGCGUAGAUAUAGGAAGGAACACCAGUGGCGAAGGCGACCACCUGGACUGAUACUGACACUGAGGUGCGAAAGCGUGGGGAGCAAACAGGAUUAGAUACCCUGGUAGUCCACGCCGUAAACGAUGUCAACUAGCCGUUGGGAGCCUUGAGCUCUUAGUGGCGCAGCUAACGCAUUAAGUUGA